GACAGAGGGUGCAAACGUUGUUCGGAAUUACUGGGCGUAAAGCGAGUGUAGGCGGUCUCCUAAGUCGGGUGUGAAAGCCCCGGGCUCAACCCGGGAAGUGCACUCGAAACUGGGAGGCUAGAGUAUCGGAGAGGUUGGUGGAAUUCUCGGUGUAGAGGUGAAAUUCGUAGAUAUCGAGAGGAACACCGGUGGCGAAGGCGGCCAACUGGACGAAUACUGACACUGAGGAGCGAAAGCCAGGGGAGCAAACGGGG
rnacentral:rRNA from 1 species